rnacentral:rRNA from 1 species
GACGAACGCUGGCGGCGUGCUUAACACAUGCAAGUCGAACGGGAUUUAGUAAACAGAAGCCUCGGUGGAAGAUUACUAAUGAGAGUGGCGAACGGGUGAGUAACGCGUGAGCAACCUGCCUAUGACAGUGGGAUAGCCUCGGGAAACCGGGAUUAAUACCGCAUAAAAUCGUAGAAACACAUGUUUUAACGGUCAAAGAUUUAUCGGUCAUAGAUGGGCUCGCGUCUGGUUAGCUAGUUGGUGAGAUAACAGCCCACCAAGGCGACGAUCAGUAGCCGGUCUGAGAGGAUGAACGGCCACAUUGGAACUGAGACACGGUCCAAACUCCUACGGGAGGCAGCAGUGGGGAAUAUUGCACAAUGGGGGAAACCCUGAUGCAGCGACGCCGCGUGAACGAAGAAGGUAUUCGUAUCGUAAAGUUCUGUCCUAUGGGAAGAUAAUGACAGUACCAUAGAAGAAAGCUCCGGCUAAAUACGUG